UAUAGUUUCUUGAUGUUUGCUUUUUAUAUUGCUUUAUUGUCUGUUUAUCUCUUAGUUUUAUUUUUCUAAUUGAAUAACUUUAUUCUUUUAUGUAAGAGUAGAGGCAAGCUGUUGGAAAGGCUCCUCCUCAACUACAACACAAACAGUGCUCUUUUCUCACAUUUGGGUUUGGUGGUGGUACUGGUCCCUCUCAAUCUCCAAGGAAAGAGAGCCAUUCAAUGUUACACCAACAUCGCACGAGUCAUCUUAUGACACUCCAGAAAUAAGAAAGUACAAUUCAACUCUGAUAUCCUAUGUACUGCCUUAUGGAGUGAGAAUCUAGCACUUUUUUAAAAGAGUAAAUCUAUUGAUUGGUACAGAGAGUGGACUCAUGCUUCUUGACCGUAGUGGUUAAGGUAAGGUGUACCAGUUAAUAUCGAGGAGAAAAUUUCGGCAAGUGAAAGUCCUAGAAGGCCAAAAUAUUCUUGUCACAGUGUCUGGCGAAAAAUGUAGAGUAUGCGUAUAUUACCUCUCAGGGCUGAGGAGUAAAAUAUUAAGAACUGAUGGAAGGCAGUAUCGAAAAAAAACUAAACAAGAAAUUGCUGCUGAAAUGAACCUUUCUGAAGCUGCAUUUCUUACAGGAUUAGAAGAAGAUACUUUUGAUAAUGGUUCUGCUCAUUCAGUGCUUGAUCCAUAUUGGUCUGAAACUCUACAACAGAAUUCUUUUUGUGGACUCAUCUUCACUGUGCUGCUUCUUGCAAUAAUUCAACUAUAAUAAAAUUUUUGCUGGAAAAACUUUAUCAAAACUUGAGUAAUCAUGAAACAACUUGGGAGAGAAUGCUUUGUACAUAUAUGUAUCGAGAGUCCUGUAAAGAGGCUAAGUCUGAAACGUCUUCUGAGAAAAGAUACAAGAUAUAAUUAUAUUAAUGUUAUUUUUUUCACCUAUUGCAGAAUAUAUUGUAGUUAUUUUCUAAAUAUUUUAAUGGCUCUGUAUGUAAUAAAAAUAUAAUUCAAUG